CCCUGCAGCCGAUGUGACGUACACGGACACCACACAUUGUGGCGCGCGGCACCGCGGGAGACAGCACCAGAUCUUGCUUCCCACUGAAUGAUCCUGGUCGAGAAACCUGCCAAUCAGAUAAAUGUGCACCCAGGUAAUAACCUGCAACACUUCCGUGCACAUAUAUCUGUAAGGUAUUUAUAUUGAGUGUUUUUCGUAUGUUGAAGGUACUUACAUUGGAUUGGGACUCUUCUGUGUGCAUAUAAUACUCUAAGAGUGCUGUUCAUAUGUUGAGGUUACUUACAUGAUUGGAUAAGACCUCUUCCAUGUGCAUAUAACACUCUUAGACUAGAGUAUUGUUUAUAUGUUGAAGUUACUUACAUUGGAUAAGACCUCUUCCAUGUGCAUAUAAUGCUCUAAGAGUGUUGUUCAUAUGUUAAAGGUACUUACAUUGGAUAAAGACCUCUUCCAUGUGCAUAUAACACUCUUAGACUAGAGUAUUGUUUAUAUGUUGAAGUUACUUACAUUGGAUAAAGACCUCUUCCAUGUGCAUAUAAUGCUCUAACGAGAGUUGUUCAUAUGUUGAAGUUCCUUAUAUUGGAUAAAGACCUCUUCCAUGUGCAUAUAAUGCUCUAAGGAGUGUUGUCCAUAUGUUGGUACUUACAUUGCAUUAGACCUCUUCCGUGUAAAGAUCCUCAUCAUAAAAUGCCCUGGGGUGUGAGGUUCAUAUGUUGAUGGCACCACGAGGUAUCGUCCAGCUGCAAGGAAGAAUCUAUUCAUCACCUCACGUGCGUUGAUGAAGAUCGAAUCACCAGCCUUUGGAAACAUCGAAUGAACGCGAUAUUUGCGGUUCUCUUCGACCUAGAAAAAAGAGAUGCUGGUUAGUCCCUAAAUGAGCUUUAUCGUAACAAUUUCCUAAUUAUUCUCGAAAAGUCAUAAGAAAAAGAAGCUAGCGGUUCCCCGCAGAAAAGGGGUAUUCAUGAAUAGUCACGAGUGAUUCCAAGAUAGUCUAGAAUGAUUAUCCACCAGAAAACUCUAAAAACUAACGAGUUGUUUUCCAAUAAUAUCGAGCAGCUCCCGAAUAGUCACUAAUGAUUCCCCAGUAUCAUUUCCGGAAUGUUGCCGAAUGUUAACGAUUGAUUACCAAAUAGUAUGGAAUAAAAAUGCGUGCUGCGUACCUUCAUGAUGUAGAAGCCGAUGGUGAGGUUACCGACGCCUUUGCUCUUAUCUUUGCGCCUGUCUUCUUGCAUCAGGGAAACCAUGGCAUCUUCUCCCUCGUUAUCCGUUAUACUAAACGCAUACUGUUUUACAAAACAGCAAAUCAUCUUGUUAAAAGAACAGCAGACAAUUUUAUACCAGCUGAAGAAGACCACUAGUGACGGAAAAACGCUUAUAAACAUCUCACAACAAACUAACGAGUUCUUCCAUGUUAAAAGCUAUCUCGGUGAAUUUCCAGAAAACACCCAGAGAAUGAGAGAGGUUUCCUGCCUGUGAGAAGAUCCCCUGUGUGUGUGUGUGUGUGUGGGGGGAUGUUUUCUUGAAUUGCACAUUCUUAAAUCUGGGUGGUCGUUAAUCUACGAAUGCGGUUUUAAUUUAACAGUUGUAAAACAAUGAAAAGGGUAAAGCGGGCUUUACACCUGUGGAACCCAGGACAAUCCUGGUACGUCCUCAAAUGAACACAGGUCACCUGAGGGUUCUUGAGGAAUGUAUCCUGGUUCUGCACACAUCCUCCUGCGUUCUGACCCUGGGUCCAGUUAUAAUUGUGCUUAUAGAUGUGCCACUGUUUGAAAACCUUGUGGAUCAUGGCCUUGUUGAUGACAUGGCAUAGGGUACAGUCCGUGAAUUCCCGGCAGAAGUCAUCAAAUUCCAUCC